GACGAACGCUGGCGGCGUGCCUAAUACAUGCAAGUCGAACGCAGUGGGGACGGGUGAGUAACACGUGGGUAACCUCCCAUCAGAGGGGAUAACACUUGGAAACAGGUUCUAAACCGCUACUGAUGGAUGGCCCCGCGGUGCAUUAGCUAGUUGGUGCGGUAACGGUUCACCAAGGCCACGAUGGAUCGCCGACCUGAGAGGGGGGUCGGCCACACUGGUACUGGGACACGGCCCUGACUCCUACGGGAGGCCGCAGUAGGGAAUCUUAGGCAAUAGACGAAAGUCUGACCGAGCAACGCCGCGUGGGUGAAGAAGGUUUUCGGAUCGUAAAACUAUGUUGUUAGAGAAGCGGUAUCUAACCAGAAAGCCACGGCUAACUACGUGCCAGCAGCCGCGGUAAUAC
rnacentral:rRNA from 1 species